UUACAUUUAAAAAAAUGAGCCUACUUCAAACAUUAUAGACCACUGUAACUGUCUAUUAUCGCUUGAACAAAACCUGUUAAUAUUUAUUAUAGACCACUGUAACUGUCUAUUAUCAAAAAAAAAAAAAAAAAAUUAUUAUGAAAAUAAAAUAUGUACACCAGUUAAACUGGACGAUAAAGAAAUUGCUAACAAUAGUUUAAUAGAGCAUGUUUUAGGUUUAUAGGUGUUUAGAUGCAGAAAUUUAAUUUAAUUAAAUAUAGAUUAAUUCUUGUUAGAGCAAAAAAAAAACUAAUAAUAAUAAUAAUAAUAAUAAAUACACGAAUACAUACAAAAAAAGCAGCCAAGACGAAUGAUUUUCUGUUUUUAUAGAUUAAAAUUAAAGACAGAAAGCAGCUGGUAAAUGCAGUCACUUUAAUAUUCAAAUCCAGUAUCAUGAUCCACUUCAGAUUUAUUUCUCAACUGUUUAUGUUCACGUGACUGUUUUCGUUUAUAUUCGCCAAGCUAUUAUGUAUUUUUGAAAUAACCUUGUUCUUGAUUUGUUCGUUCUUGCCAGAAUCAGCGUCCUCUGGAGCUCGAGAGAUCGAUGUUAUUCUGCCCAGUCUCGCGCUGUCAAAUAGUCUUUCAAUUUUCACAAUCAAACAGCUCACAAAUACCUGAAUUUAGCUCUUGUUGUGUUCUAAUGGGUGGAUUGUGUGCAUUCGCGGUAAUAUUUUAUUUUAAAAAGCUCUUAAAACUAUCAAAAUGCUUUUAAUUGUGAGCUCGUGGUGAGAAUGCACGCGCUGAUGCAGCGGUGAUUUCUCUCUGGUCUUUCUCACUGUUCUGGCCAGACAUCAAUUAUUAAUGAGAUCUGAGCCAGUAAUAAUAACAUAUGUUGGUUCAGCUUGUCAGUGUGAAUUAAAUGUGUAAUUAUUUGUCCGUUCUCGCCGAAAAACCAUCACCGUGUUCUGGAGCGCAGAGUAAUCGAUGUGAUGUUCAGCCCUUAGACAAAGAAAAUCUCACAAGCACUCAUAAACACUCAUUUUCAUCUCUAUAAUAUGUUCUUCUAAUUGUUUUUUGUUGAUUCGCCGCUGUGUUUUAAUGUAAAAGGCUGUAGUUUCUGUAUGUACACUUUUUUUCCCUUCAAGUGUUCAGACGUCUCGCGCUGUCAGACAGGCUGCAGCAAAUAUUUCAU
ensembl:lncRNA